UAUGGCCAUACCACCCUGAACGCGCCCGAUCUCGUCUGAUCUCGGAAGCUAAGCAGGGUCGGGCCUGGUUAGUACUUGGAUGGGAGAUCUUUGCAGGUGGGUCUUUCCCUAC
rnacentral:rRNA from 1 species